UCCCUUUUCCUUUUGAUUUCCCUUUCCCUUUCUGUCCUUCCACUCUGAUCCCUCACCAACCCUUUUCAUAUAACUGGCUUAAAUCAGGGGAAAGUAUAGGCCAGGCUUAUGCAGUGGAUGUGAGACGUGUGGUGUGGUUUACAACUCUGCUGCUAUUUACUCUCCAACACUCCCAGGGCUGCUCCAGUAUUCCAGGCAUCAACGGUUUUACCAACAGCAAAUAUAACUGACAAAAUCAGCCAGGGGGCACAACUGAUUUAACAGCUUCUGAAAUAAGCUGUCUUUUGCUGCAAUAUACCUAUGUUCUAUAUCAGACAGACAGAUCAGAACAUGAUUGACUGCCAAUGAACCCAAGAGAACUUCUCGACCUCGGAAUAAUGACAAAGAAUAGUGCCCACCAUAUAUGGUCAUUACAGGAAGAUGGAACUAAAGGGUCAAGUUUCCUUAGACAUCUGGUUCCAGUGGUAAGAUACAGAUCUGGAUUACUGGAGAUGGUCCUGGAUGCAGUGGAAAUCUCAGUAUUUUUAAGGUGGCGCUGUUACCUGCAAUUAGGCUACGCUUUUGGAAAGAAAUCUUAAAAAAAAAAAAAAAAAAAAAAAAGUAUAAUUGAUCCCCCAGUUAAUCCAGAAAUUAACAUAACUUGCCAACUGUGUCCAUGGCCCAUCUAGCAUAAUGGUUUGCUAUCUUUUUGAUUAACUCGGGCUUCCUAUAAUCACACCACAAUAAUAUUCUUUGUAACAAUUCUUCAAUGUUUGUUUGGAAACAAGUCAGUUCUAGACUCUAAAUUCACCAAGUGGAGAGACCAAGUCAAGGAGAAGCUUAUAUAUAGUAUUUCUGGUAGAUUCAUAACAUGGCAACCCUAUUAGGUCAUUUUCUAUUCCAUUCAGAAUAUUAAUGAUUUAAGAGACUUAAUAUCCUGGAAAAAAUGAGGAGGAGCUUUAGAGAUUUAAACAAAGCAAGGCAAUACCCAUGCACAGUAGAAAGAUUUCCUUUGCACUUAUUCACCAAAGCUCUAAUGUUACAGGCAAUGGAUGUGAGGGUCCAUGACACUAGGUAUUCUAUGAAAAUAUCAUCAUCUUACUAGAUGUGAGGUGGACAUUACAAUUCAGUUUCUUUUUGUCUAAAUUGUAAUAGAAAAGCUAUAUUCAACAAUAAAAAAAAGAAUUAUACUUUGGUAAGGAAAUAUUGGAGGUUUUCAGCACUUUCCCAGGCAGGCCAAAUGUCUUCAUCUGCCAUGUAAAUGCAAUAAAAGGAUAUAUGCAUGAAAUUAUAGGAUUUAUGGGUGACAGAGAAACUAAACCACAUAAAAUAUCAUUUUUGCUUUAAAAUUUGGUCUUUCUAACAUGUGUUAAAAAAUAUAGAUGCCUUUUACUAAUGAAGUACAUCAAAGCACAUUAUACUCUGCAUUUUGUGAGAACCAGGCAAUUUAUAAAUGCGAUUCACAUUUAAUUAGGAGUCAUUUCUUUUCCAUAAGCAUAUUUACUCGGAUUUCUUGUUCCUACGGCAACUCAGUGAGUAGUACGGCCACAAGAACGGUCUAGACUAACCUAAAAAGAGAAAUGGAGAUUAAUAAGCAAGCUCAAUAUUAAGACGAUAAUACAGAAGAACAAACUCUAAGAUUGGGAGAGAAGCAUUACAAAGGAGCCUUAAAUCAGAAUCUCUUAUUUCAAAGAGCCUAUUUAUAGCUGUACAGAUUUUAUUUAUUCAAGAGUACCCACAGUACACAGUGAAAGAGAUGACUCGUUUUGCACUAAGUUCUCUAAUUGGCUAUCAACUCAGGUAGUGGUUGUUGUUGUUGUGUUAAUUACAACCCACUUUGAAACAGAUUUAAAAUUCUUAACAAGGGGAUAUGUAAGCAACAUUUUAACUAGAUGUAUGUGUGGAUGUACCCCUUCAAAUCACAGGAAGUUUUUUUAAAAAUAAUCAGAUGAUUCCUAAAUGGGAUAGAUUUCUAAAUCUAGCAUUAAUAUAAGACAAUGCUAUUAGUAUUAUAUUGGGCAGAGGGUGAGACAUUCUUAAAACCAAAUGCUUACAACAUAACCUUAUUCUUAAGGUUAUUCUCUCAUAGGCUGUUUUAAAAAGAUGAACAGUCAGAGUUAGCUAAAGAUGUGCUUGUCAUAAAUAUUGACUGAAGUGCAUUUUUAGCGUUAUUAAGAAGAAAAGUAAAAAAGAUCAGUGGGAUUUUUGUAUUUUCCCUUUUAAAAUAUGUCUGUAACUGACACUUCUUAGGUUGUGUCUUUAAGAU